AUCUCAUUAGUAUAAUGAAAAUACAGCUAAUUUCCAAUUAGCCAAUUCCCCUACAGGGAAUGAGAUA
rnacentral:tRNA from 1 species